rnacentral:rRNA from 1 species
AUUGAACGCUGGCGGCAGGCUUAACACAUGCAAGUCGAGCGGGGUGAUGGUGCUUGCACUAUCACUUAGCGGCGGACGGGUGAGUAAUGCUUAGGAAUCUGCCUAUUAGUGGGGGACAACAUCUCGAAAGGGAUGCUAAUACCGCAUACGUCCUACGGGAGAAAGCAGGGGAUCACUUGUGACCUUGCGCUAAUAGAUGAGCCUAAGUCGGAUUAGCUAGUUGGUGGGGUAAAGGCCUACCAAGGCGACGAUCUGUAGUGGGUCUGAGAGGAUGAUCCGCCACACUGGGACUGGGACACGGCCCAGACGCCUCCGGGAGGCAGCAGUGGGGAAUAUUGGACAAUGGGGGGAACCCUGAUCCAGCCAUGCCGCGUGUGUGAAGAAGGCCUUAUGGUUGUAAAGCACUUUAAGCGAGGAGGAGGCUCUUUUGGUUAAUACCCAAGAUGAGUGGACGUUACUCGCAGAAUAAGCACCGGCUAACUCUGUGCCAGCCGCCGCCGUAA